AGUGUGGGUAACGGUAACGGUGCCGUGUAAUUCGGGUGGGGUUUUAAAAUUUGAAAAUUGGGUGAGUGGGUUACAGCUCAUCGUGACCGGUCGGUGGGAUUUGAAAUUUGAAUCUGGGUGGGGAAGCGGGAGAAAGGUUUUGGGUUUAUUGGACUGGGCUGACUAUCAUACUAGGCCCAACGUCAUUAUCUUUAACGGGUAUGAAUAAUACAAACAGGAGCUACCAAGAAAGAUGUAGGACCUGCACACUCUUCAGUACACCACGAUAUGCUAGCAAAAAGGGUCAGUCCAACAAUGAAGACUGAAACCGACAAAGGGCCAACAGUGUUGUCGGCAUACCAACUAGCCAACUAGGUCAUGGCUCUCCCCGUGAAGGGUAUACAUGUGCUCGAGUCAACUCCGCUUCCUAAGGAAUGAAUACACGCACUAGAUUUAUAACUUCCUUUACACGCAAAUACUAUAAACCCUAAUUUGCCCAAAAGAAUGACCUUACUGUUUAUGUGGAUGUUAACUAUGUUAGCUUAUAUUUGGGGAAUGUUUUUGGGUUCUGUUUUCCUUUUAUUUUGUGUUGAUUUGCUUGAGGAGCUGGGAGGAUGCUUGUUCGGAAUUUUAGCAUAUGUUGCCCUUAUUGAAGUAUUGGAUGAAAGGAAGCUCUCCAGAAUUGAGGUAAUUACAAAAACUGUGUUUUUUUCUGUUUGAUUUUGAAGUAGUGACCAAUGAAAUUGUUUGGGCUUGCAUAUAUAAGCUUAAGGAGGAAGAACUGUAUAAUCAUACUUUUUCUCAGCUUUGGAGUGUUAGUUCAAUUUGCAAUAACAGAAUAGCCCAUAAGAUUUGAUGAUCAUUAUGAUACCAUUGAUAGGGACAUAGGGUUACAAGGCAAUGUCCUAUUGAAUUUACGCAGAGUCUUAAACUUUUAGUAGUUAAACAUGUGCACUGUGCACUGUGUGAUGUUAACUGUCAUGAUCUUGCUGAUAGGGUUAUGAGGGUGCGAGUCCUUUGAACUUACAGAAUGGAGUUUAUCCCUUCUACUAGAUCAUCAAUUGAGAGUUUCCAGGAAGUGAGAUUUGAUAGUUUGGAAGAAACUGCUAUUAAACAGAACCCAUCAUCUGCUAUUUUUGAGGAGGAUUUUGCCAAAGGUGGUAUUGAUCAACUGAUGAGUCCUUUACCUUGCACAAAUGCACACACUAUUAUCAUGUAGAUUGCAUUAUCCAGUGGGUGGGGAUAAGUCACAUGUGUUCGUUAUAUUGAUAGGCAAUGCCAAGUGAGGAAGUGGCCAAGCCUUCCAUCCCUAACGGAUGUUAGAUUAUACAUGCAUCUCAAUUAGUCAUGAAAUAUGUGUCAAUUGAUCUCUGCGUAUUUACUAUUUUGUAGAUUAAUUCUAGAAGUGAAUAUACUUAUCCAAUUAUAUAUCCUCUAUCAAUAUAUGAUAUAUGGAGUGAAUUUGAGGCCCUGCCUAAACCUUUUAGGAGGGGAACACUGGCAUUGGCAUCAUCCUUGUAGUCCCAAUGCCUAAACCUGCAGUUGGCUCGGUCUGGAUCAACCUCAUGCCAAUGUCAGAAUGUCUGAUAUGUGUUGUCUAUAUAUCUUCUGAGUUCUGCAGACUCACAAUCUGUUGUAGGGAGCUGGAAAAGGUAUGGUGCCUUUUCAAAUGUUAUUGCUCUCUAGAUAUUGUAUAAAAUUAAUAUAGAAGCAUGCUCACAGCAGCAACAGGAAAAAUUUGGUUCUGUUUUCUUGUCCUUCUAAAAUUAAAUUAAAUCUAUUUUCAUAUUUAAUACGCAUAACAAGCAUGCAUCCCGUACUGUUUUGGGAAGAAGAUAAAUUGAGUAGUUAUAAUGGAGAGAAAUAGAAGAAAAGGAACAAGAUGAGAAUUGAUCCAGUGUUUUGACCAACGUGAGAAAUCAGCUUGCUUUCAUAAUGAACAUGAAGAAAACCAAAUUGUCUAUUCAUUUCAAACUUCUCCUUAAGUACUGUGACCUCUUAGUUUCUCAUGAACAUGGAGUGCAGCUACUCGUGUACCUAUGCAAGGGGAGCUAAUUGGACAUUCACUACUUUAAGUCCUUGUAUGCAUUAAUAAUGUUCUAUUCAUUACGAACUUAAGGUUUUUGCAGGCAGUGUGGAUUAAAGGAGAUGCUUUGGUUGAAUGGAAAGACGGUUCAAAAUCAUUGUUGGAAUCUUGGAAUUGCUAGAGGACUACUGUAUCUGCAUAAAAAUUCUCAGCUUAGGCAGUGGACUACUUUAUUGAGAUUUCAAAGCCAGCUCUUGUGGAUUCAGGGAGCCACCACCAACAACUUAGCAAUGGGUUGUAGGUGGUUUGAAAAGGUAUGGUGCUUUUAUUGUUGCUCGCUACAUAUUCUAUAAAUUUAUAUAGAAGCAUGUGAUAGCAGUAACAGGCCAGGGAAGAUUCGUUGCUGUUGUUUUCUCCUUCUAAAAUUAGAUUAAAUCUAUUUCCAAAUUUAAUGUCUUAUAUAUAAGCCACUCUUUUGGGGAUAACUAGAUCAUCUAAAAAAUAUGCACUGAAUGAGAAAUUUAGUUUUUAUCAGUAUAAACCAGGCAUAGCUUGUUCUGUCAUGAAUUGGCCAUCAUAUGCAAAUAUCUUCAUCUGAUAUUUAAUCCAGCCAAUGUUGGAAUUAUAAAACCAUCAGACAUUGCAGGAGUUGUCUCCAAGCAGAAAGCCAAGAGAUAAGCAGCAGAUGCCCUCAUAAGAACGGAGCUAUAGUCUGGUACGAAGUGUGCCUCUUAAAAUACUCUACUUUAAACAGACACAAAUAAUGGGAUUUAUGUAACAAGUCCUGUAUUCAUUGAUACAUCCAUUGUUGUUUGAAGAAAGAGUUCAUAAGUUGUUAACCGAAUUAUGUAAUAAAGCUUCUAGAACAAUAUUGAAGUUUGCUGAUGGCAAGCUACAUCUUCACGUAGGUAAUAAGGAUUUAGAUGUUUUUGGUGCAGCUCAAUGCACUACUGACCUCUCUAGUGACUCCUGUAAGAAAUGCUUUGAAGUAGCAAUGAGAGAACUUCCUGAAGACCAUGGAUGGAUUGGCACAGCUGUAUAACAGUUAGGAAACUUUUACAAUGGAGGAGAUUGGUGAAUGAUGAUGAGGAAAUGCCUGUGUAAAUGCCAAUGAAGGUGAGCAGUCAGAUGUGAAGAACAAAAAGAAGAAACGUCUAGCUGAGGAUCAUUGAGGUGCACAAUGAGGUUCAAAAUGUUGAUCAUAAUGGAGAGAAAAAGAAGAAAAGGAAGAAGAUGAGGAUUGAUCCAGUGUUUUGACCAACGUAGGCAAUCAGCUUGCAAUGUGUUGAAGGGGGUUGGAAAAGGGAGUUUGGGUUUACCUUCUGCACAGGGGGAUUUGGUAUAUGGUAUGGCACAAUGUUGGAAUUAUAUCACCGUCGAACAUUGCAAGAGUUGUAUAAAAGCAGCAAGCAAAGAGAUAAGAAGCAGACGCCCUCACAAACAAGGCGCUAAAGUGUGGUAUGAAGCUUUGUAAAGUACUCUACUGUGCCUUUCUUGGAUUUAAGAGAGCCGACCAAUGGGAUUUAUGUGUCAAGUCCCGUAAUCUUUGAUGUGGAUCCCUUUGUUGUUACACAAAACUGUACAUAAGUUGUUAACUGAGUUAUGUAUUAUUGCUUCUAGAAGUAAAAACAGGUUGGCUGAUGUCAAGGUACACCUUCAGGAUUUUUUGGUCUGAUUCAAUGUACUACUGAUCUAUGAAAUGACUUUUGUAAGCAGUGUAUUGACGAAGCAAUGAAAGAACUUCCAGAAGGAUUGUGGGCAUGUCAAUUUUGGGAGUUGUUAUAUUAGUUUUGAAAACACUGCAGGGCAGGGGAGGUUUGCUUAUAUAGACCUGCAUGUUAGCAAUUUUAUCCAUCACUGAAUCUAGCCUUUUCACAUUGCUGCCUUUUCUAGCUUAGAUAAUGAAACUUAAUAUCACUAAAAUGUGCUCCCCUUUUACUCUUUAUUUCAUGCAUUCUUCAAAUUUACUACUCCAGAAAAGCUCGAGUUGAUCAGUACUCUAGCUACAAGUAUUAAAACAUAGUACAUGCAGUUACACUUCAUUCUGGGAAGUGUCUAAGCGAAAAAUAAACCUUAUUCUCACUGAUCCAUUGUUUUUGAAGCAUCGAUCUCUCAAGGAUUGCUGCAUCAUUGAAUACGGGUCAGCUAAACUCGUCGUGGUAUAUGACAUUUCUCAAUGCAGGGAGAUCUCAAUAAAAAUGAUUGCCAAACUUGUGCAUCAGGCAACUAUGUUCAAUCUAUUGCAGUCAUAUAUAUACAAUAUUGCAUGUCUUGUAA